rnacentral:lncRNA from 1 species
UUUUUUUUUUUGAGAUUGUAGCACAGGACAAUGCCUCAAUGGUUUCUACACCACUGCAGAGGCAAACUACCACAGAAACUCACACUUGCCUUCUCCAGUCCAGCAUGUUCCUGUUCUGGUUCAGAUCAAGCCUCUGCAUCCUGUUUUAGAAACUGAGAUUGUAGAUAAAGACAUAAAACCUGGUUAACUCUAUUAACUUUACAACAUCAUGUCAUGAAAUGUCAUCUCAGUUUCCACAGCUGUCAGUUUAUGCCACAGCCCUUCUGGCCUGGGUUCCUCUUGCUUUUUCCAUUCAGACAGGCAAGCAGCAGCCUGUUUGAGCUACCCAGCUCACCUGCACACUAUAGAACAAUAUGAAUAUUACAUGUAGCAUCCUUUGCAGCAAAGGAUAUAUUAAGUCCUAUAUUUUUAAUACCACUUUUAGUAUGCCUAUAAAAAGACUCUAUGCAAACAAUUGGAUUAUGUAUUUCUGCUCUGUAUGGGAAUAGGGUACCAAGUGAGAGACAUGGCAAGUGGAAAUGCUCCUAUCCAGGUGCAGAAGCCUUUGCAACGUGCAUCUGCAUGGGAUUUGCAGAGAAUUACAUAAAACUUAUCUUCCUACAAGCAUCAGACCUAGUUGAGCCCAUAGGAUUUUUACAUCUCAAGAGGUUUUUACUGGUAUAUUACACUAGAAGUGCUGGUGAAUGAUAUCCUUCACAGUGACUGGAUGACAUGCUGCUCUUCAAUUUCUCCAUAACCACUCAGAAAUGUGACAUCUUUACAAAUCAUUGAGUGCCCUCCUACAGCUCAUAUUAAAGGUCCAGAAGAAAGAGAAAUGCCUGCCAGAAACUUGUAACAAAAUUUGGUAUUUGGAGUUUUCUCUUAUAUUUGCCCUUACUUCUUCCAAAUUAAACUAGGGCAAAAGAAAUAAGUACAGCUUCACAAAUAUCUUACCUGCCUUUUCAUUGCCCCAUUACUAUACUUCAAUUUUGGCCUGAAAAGAUUUCUCCAGUAGCAUCUAACAGAUGAGAGAACAUCUAACCUCCAUGAUCCUCACAACUCUGGGUUUUGUUGAGUAUGAAACUAGCAGGACUGGAAGUAUGUUAAAUCACGGACAGCUGAGAUCACUCCAAGUCUUUUCCUUCCCCCUGGCAUGACACGCCAAAAGAGACAUUCUGUAAGAAGUAGGGUUUCCUAGCACCACUUCUGCCAAAUAACAGACUUACCUGGGAAUUAGGUCAUUAAAACAGAGGGCCUGACUCACAGUGAGAGGUGGAUCUAUAAGUGACCUUUGGCAUACUGGAGCCACUGAUCAAUGAUUACUUUUUUAUUAAAUAAUUAUUUUCCUGUAUCAGCAGGGACUACUUCCCUCAUACACAUCAUUAACAUUAACCUUUGCUGCACAAGGAUUAAAGGAGAUGACACCACAGAGAACCAUGAGCAAAACAGAAGCUUAGCCCAAGGAAACACACUCUUCCCCUCUACUCAGGGCUGGCUCAUGCUGCCCAAUUUCCCCAUCACUACUCCACCCAUCUCUACUCAUUGUACAUAAGCACUGCCAGGUCAGUUUGAGACAGAAGGCAGUGCUCAAUUUAACUAUAAAGGCUGAGAAAUCAGGGAUACCUAGUGAAGGCAGAUGGGAGAAGGUGGCAUGCGUAAUGGUCAUAACAAAAUAUAUAAAUCAGCUACAACAUUGUAAUGAAAAUCAAGGACAAUUCAAAAGGAAGCCGUGCUGACCCACAGCUCCCAGGAUCUUAAUUGAUGGCAGACACAACCUGAAGCAUUUCCAUUUCACUGUUUGGCUUCAUCCCAAAACACUUAUAUCCAUGCCAAACUGUUUGUCUUCACAGCAUUUGCUCCUCCUGAGUGGAUAUCAUCAGUCACACCCAUCUGUGAGAGCUAUUUUGUUAUAUAAGGAAAAAAGACCCUUAGGGAAAAGCACAGUUCAUCAAAUGUGCUAUGCCUUGGACUUGGGUUCAGUCAUAAUGCAGGUCUCCUGGGGUGACGCUGUACACUAAUCAGGUGUGCCCUUUGGCACUGUGCCCUUAGCAGAAAGACCAGGUGGAACCAGGUGAAACCUUGAAGAGAUGGAAGACUGAAAGCAUAGGGACAUGAAAAACCCCAGCAGAUGGCAGGGAAGAAGCUUCUUUCUGCUUUGACAGUAGUUUGCUCUAGUGUGGCUUUUACUGUGAAGUUUCUGCUGAUUUCUCCAUAUACUUCUUUAGAUUGUAUCCCUCACAAGAACUGGAGAGAGGAUCAUAUAUUCUCCUCUCACACAGUUUAACUCCAUUAUUCCCAGUAAGUGUUGUACCUCAGUCCCCAGUAAAGCAGUAUGUCUUUGUCUUGGUGCAGUGCCAAGAAGCCAAGUGUCAUUUGAGCCCCAGAUGAGGAGAACAUGCUACAGGCAGCACAGCCCCCAGCAAAAGGAAGCCUUUGGCCAAAGAGAGAAACAUGGAAACCAGAGAACAACACAAGAAGUAUCUAGUUCACUUCAUACAUCUUGCAUGUAUAUAAUUCACCACUAUAUAUUUCAACAGCUGUCACCCAAGGAGAGCUCACACAAAUUUGAAGUAUCUCCCAUCUAUCUCAAAGAAACGGGAGACAUGCUCAGCUGAAGUCCACCCUCAUCUAACCAUUAUCAAUGCAAAAGCAGCUGCACUGAUGGCAAAAACAUAUGCCCUCUUCUUUGUCUUCUGGGGUGAUCAGUUCUUAAUUCUUUAGCCUUGCUGUGUGAACCAGUAAUUCAGCAUGAGCCCUCCCUGACAAGAAUACAGUGAAAGUCUGUUGUCUUCAGAAGGGACAUCUACUGCCCUUAUCACUUCACAUUGGUUUUAGUCCAUGCAGAAGUAAAUUCCUUAUGGAAGAAACAGAAUCAUGUGCACUAAAACAGAGACUAAAUUAUCAACAAACAGAGCUCAGGAGCUAGGGAGAGGUUGGGGAGCCUCAUCAACUACUUUGCACAGAAAAACCCCACCCAGUGUGGCAAAGCUUGCCCAUCUGAAGAAGGCAGUAGGCUCUCAAGUCUUCCUCUAGUCCUGCUUCAACAACACAUUUCUUGGCCCUAUAAGGCCUCAUCUCUUUGGACAUACAGACUCACUGGUGUUUUCAACACCUCAAUAUGCGCAUACAGUGUUUCCUUGCAUUCUGCACUUCUUCUCCUUGCUCAUCAGGGAAAUGAAGAAUCACAGGGAGACCUCAUAUUUUAAAUUUACAGAAUUCUUGUACAGACUAAGAAUUUGCAUCAUAUACAUUUGUCCUUCCCUUUCAAUCCUCAGCAGAGUUUCUGGGCCUCACUCCUUCCUUACUCCCAUACCAAUUCCCAGGAAGGAAGCCUCUAACACCUCGUCACAGACAGCAGGCAGGACCAGCCAACAUCAGCUCCCCAAGAGACCUUCCACUGUCACACCAAGCAGAGAAAGCUGAGCUCUUCCAAGGGAAGCACAAGAUUCUACCUUUCCAUCCAGAGAAGCUAAGGAGGGAUGAGGAUACACAGUGUCAAAUCCCAGCCUCAGGCUGGUCAUUUGAUAGAAGAUGGGAUUUUAAUUCCUAGUUUUAAUCAAAGAAAAUGUAGUUACAGACUUUGAAAAGCAGUGGCAUCAAGAAGAAAAGUGGCAAGAGUCUGCAUAAAUCUUCUUAUCAAGCCUCCUGUUUCCCCUGGAGAAGGAAAUGAACCAAGAGUAGAUGCAGCAGUCAUGCUGUCCCUAUAGUAUCAUUUCUUCCAAGUUCAUAUAUCCAUAUUUUGUCCUUCCACUCACAAGGUGCAGCUUGACUCCUCCCUAUGAACUUGGUCAGACUGUAGGAUCUGAAGAAAGGUGAAGGGAACAUUACCUCCUUAUCCUAUACAAACCUGCACCCUCCUCAUUUCUUCUCAACACUUUUUCCAUGUUUUUAAUUUCCUGCAGUGAUCUAUAUAACUGAGUCAUGUGUUUCUUCUCAUUAUGAAUAUGAAUUAUUAGCCUAUCCUAUCAUUUAAGUGGUCCAAAAUAAAACAAUUUUUCAAACCUUUUCACCUUGAACACAAAUGUAUGCAUAUGUGUAUAUAUAUUUAUAUAUAUAAUUAUAUAUAAUUUUUUUUUAAGUGAGUUGGAUCAAGGCAGCUAAAGAUUGGCAUCUUCAUUCUUAGAAAGCUUUAAAAUUCAGAAACUUGAACUUAUUUUUAACAGAUAUUAUACUGAUUUUAAACACUUUAACAAAAAAUUACAAAGCUGUCUUGCUAUUUGUCUUGGAUCAAAAAAUUAACUGGCAUUGGCAAAUUCUAUUCCAUUAAAGGAUACUACCAAUUAAAAGAAAUAAUUAUUCUAUUUGAGUACUUUUUUAUUUGCUAUUGUUGCAAGCAACACCUAAGAUUAAUCCAACUGAAGGAUUAGAAGGGAAAAUGCCUUUCACCUAAGUGCUUACUCCAUGCAUGUGACAGUACUUUGUGUCAAGCCAGUUUGACUGUUUCUCUUGUAAGCAGUCAGAUCCCCUUUGGAUUAGAUCCGUAGAAAUAGGGAAGGAAAAAUACAUAUGGAAAUGUAACUGCAGAAACUCAAAUAUUAGCAAGUGAACCCAAAGAGAACACUUUUUCUUUUUAGCUAAUAUUAAGCUGCUGCACAGUCCUUAAACAACAUACACACACUGAAAAUCCUCUGCCUCAAAUAAACAUAUUCAGUGUUCAACAGACAGUGUCAAUACUGGUUACAGUCUUUUUCACACACUCUACCCUAGAAUGAUGAGACAUCUAUGAUUCAUUCUCCAACCCACCUCUCCAAUCACACACCUAGAGGAAGGCAUGUUGAAUGUUUUGGGGGUUGUUUUCACAUCAAGGAAUAAAAAUAUUAAAAGCACUGCAUUUCUGUUGGGAUUUUGUUCCUCCUCAAAAGGGAGUCUUGUCACUUAAUUGUCCCUUCUGCAUUUCCCCACACUUCCCCUACAUCCAACCCACUGUCUGAUAUUCUUUCCCUUCCCAGAGAUUGUCUCCUCCUCAACCUUGCUCCUUCCAGACAUCCCUUCCAGUGUUGCCUCCUGGCUCUCACCUCUGCUUUCUCUGUGAAAUCACACAGGUUCUUGUGCAGAUGUCAGCAGGGUCAGCAUAUAAAUGAAGCUCUGUUAGAGCUACACUUCAUAAAUCAGAAAGUGGCCUUCUGCUCUCUGUAUUCACACUCUUCAUUCAAAAACUUUUUCUCUAGUCCUUCUCCCCGCCCAGCCUCUUCUACUUCCCUAUACACUUUUGCCUCACCAAAAGCUUAGUACUUUUUUUCGUGUUUUUAUUUCUCGCUUUUAAAACUUCCUUUUUCCUACCUCUUCUCCAGCUACUUCCUUUGGAUUCUUUUGCUACCAGGCUGUCAUCUAUGCUGUUAGUGCCAACCACAUCUACAAUACAGUUAAAUAAUUUAUUAGAUUCCUUUUUUACUUAUUUUCCUCAUUUGUUCCUUGGAGUCCUAGCACUGUCAGUUCCCACACACAGAUAUCAAACCUACACCCUGUCCCCUCCUUCUCUCAAAUGGCACAAUCUUGUACCGGAAACUGACUACUCUUAUAGGAUACAACAGCCAAACCUUUUCACAGGGGCACCUGAUGAUGUGUAAGUGUUAAGAAGGUGGUUUACUAUAAACUGAUUGGAUAAGUGAAACCUUGAUAAGGCUGACUCCAUUUGGAGUUUAGACAAAGGUUUUUGCUGAUCAUUCUGGGCAACUUAUAAAAGAAAAAAGAAACAUAAGAGAAAAAAUAUUCAACUGAGAUAAUUUGGUUGUGUACAGAGCUAAGCAAAGACACAAAGAAGCUCCAAGGCAAGAAAAGUCAGCCCCAUCAGCCAAAUACUAGAGCAA